rnacentral:rRNA from 1 species
UACGUAGGGUGCGAGCGUUAAUCGGAAUUACUGGGCGUAAAGCGUGCGCAGGCGGUUCGUGAUGUCUGGUGUGAAAUCCCCGGGCUUAACCUGGGAACUGCAUUUGUGACUGCAUGGCUAGAGUGCGGCAGAGGGGGAUGGAAUUCCGCGUGUAGCAGUGAAAUGCGUAGAUAUGCGGAGGAACACCGAUGGCGAAGGCAAUCCCCUGGGCCUGCACUGACGCUCAUGCACGAAAGCGUGGGGAGCAAACAGG